rnacentral:rRNA from 1 species
ACACUGCAUGCUUAGUACGGCGAGUGAGCGGCAAAAGCUCAAAUUUGAAAGCUAGCACCUUCGGUGUUCGCGUUGUAAUUUGAAGAUAGUUUCCUUGAGUAGUCCUUUAUCUAUGUUCCUUGGAACAGGACGUCAUAGAGGGUGAGAACCCCGUAUGAUUUUGGAUACUACUCUUUGUGGGAUUCUAUCGAAGAGUCGAGUUGUUUGGGAAUGCAGCUCUAAGUGGGUGGUAAAUUCCAUCUAAAGCUAAAUAUUGGCGAGAGACCGAUAGCGAACAAGUACAGUGAUGGAAAGAUGAAAAGAACUCUGAAGAGAGAGUGAAAAAGUACGUGAAAUUGCUGAAAGGGAAGGGCUUGAGGUCAGACUUGGUGUUUAAUGAUUAUCAGUUCUUCUUGGACUGUGCACUCGUUUUUCACCGGGCCAAUAUCAGUUUUAGCGGUAGAGUACCCCUUGAAAUGUGGCUUCCUUCGGGGAGUGUUAUAGUCUUGGGGAGAUCUACUUGCUGGGACUGAGGACUGCGCUUCGGCAAGGAUAUUGGCGUAAUGACCUUAAGCCGCCCGUCUUGAACA